UUGAUCAUGGCUCAGAUUGAACGCUGGCGGCAGGCCUAACACAUGCAAGUCGAGCGGUAACAGGGGAAGCUUGCUUCUCGCUGACGAGCGGCGGACGGGUGAGUAAUGUAUGGGGAUCUGCCCGAUAGAGGGGGAUAACCACUGGAAACGGUGGCUAAUACCGCAUAAUCUCUUAGGAGCAAAGCAGGGGAACUUCGGUCCUUGCGCUAUCGGAUGAACCCAUAUGGGAUUAGCUAGUAGGUGGGGUAAUGGCUCACCUAGGCGACGAUCCCUAGCUGGUCUGAGAGGAUGAUCAGCCACACUGGGACUGAGACACGGCCCAGACUCCUACGGGAGGCAGCAGUGGGGAAUAUUGCACAAUGGGCGCAAGCCUGAUGCAGCCAUGCCGCGUGUAUGAAGAAGGCCUUAGGGUUGUAAAGUACUUUCAGUCGGGAGGAAGGCGUUGAUGCUAAUAUCAUCAACGAUUGACGUUACCGACAGAAGAAGCACCGGCUAACUCUGUGCCAGCAGCCGCGGUAAUACAGAGGGUGCGAGCGUUAAUCGGAUUUACUGGGCGUAAAGCGUGCGUAGGCGGCUAAUUGAGUCGGAUGUGAAAUCCCCGAGCUUAACUUGGGAAUUGCAUUCGAUACUGGUUAGCUAGAGUGUGGGAGAGGAUGGUAGAAUUCCAGGUGUAGCGGUGAAAUGCGUAGAGAUCUGGAGGAAUACCGAUGGCGAAGGCAGCCAUCUGGCCUAACACUGACGCUGAGGUACGA
rnacentral:rRNA from 1 species